CCACUAAGUCUACAGAAGGGAGCCAGGAUAGUAGGAAAAAUGCAGGAAAUAACUCAACCGCUAUAAGUCACUACACUAUCAUGCUCUACACUAACCAACUGUAGGACAUGUCAAAUCUGACCCAAUCCAAUCGGGACUGUAAACAUACCCGUCCCUGAGACUGUGAAUACACCCGUCCCUGCCCCAUUGCGACUAUCGGGCUCUAUCCACACUAACUGGUCCGUUGAGAGCAAGUCCAACUGGCAUGAGCGACACCAACGCGAAAGCACAAAGCCCGUCUCCGGAGUGGCACUCGUGGGCGCUACCCAACCGAGUAUGCAGCGUAUCUCUGUCGAGCUCAAUCAGGCUCUCAAUAGCCAAAGUCAAGUAACCGACUCAAACUGGUCUAACAACCAACAGGUAACGUGCCCUCGGCACAAUCUGACGCCAAAAAGGCGAUAGGGGUCCACCGUCAACUCUGACGGCACCCAACAGUCCGGAACAACCUGAACGACCCUGUAAAAAUUCACUCGGCA
rnacentral:lncRNA from 1 species